rnacentral:rRNA from 1 species
AUGCAUGUCUAAGUAUAAGCACUUGUACUGUGAAACUGCGAAUGGCUCAUUAAAUCAGUUAUCGUUUAUUUGAUUGUACAUUACUACAUGGAUACCUGUGGUAAUUCUAGAGCUAAUACAUGCGAAAAAUCCCGACUUCGGAAGGGAUGUAUUUAUUAGACUAAAAACCAAUGCGAGUCCUCGUGGCUCGUUUCUUGGUGAUUCAUGAUAACUUUUCGAAUCGCAUGGCCCUUGCGCCGGCGAUGUUUCAUUCAAAUUUCUGCCCUAUCAACUGUCGAUGGUAAGGUAGUGGCUUACCAUGGUUGUAACGGGUGACGGAGAAUUAGGGUUCGAUUCCGGAGAGGGAGCCUGAGAAACGGCUACCACA